AAGACUAUACUUUCAGGGAUCAUUUCUAUAGUUUCUCACUAGAGAAGCUUCUCUGAAUGUGUAGAGUACCAGAAGCCACGAGGAUGAGUUGCAGUGUUCUCUCCUGAGCGUGAAACAGGCUGGGUUCUGUCUUGGGGCAGCAGCCAUUUGCCAUUGAUGAUCGUUCUACUCUGUGUAUGGCAGAGUUGGAGGGAGAGAACACAGUCUGAGUGGUU
ensembl:snoRNA